rnacentral:tRNA from 1 species
GGUUCUGGCUCAGUGUUAGAGUUCUUGCUUAGCAGGCGUGAGGCUCUGGGUUCAAUCCUCAGCACCA